rnacentral:rRNA from 1 species
GACGAACGCUGGCGGCGUGCUUAACACAUGCAAGUCGAGCGGUAAGGCCCUUUCGGGGGUACACGAGCGGCGAACGGGUGAGUAACACGUGGGUGACCUGCCCUCAGCUCUGGGAUAAGCCUGGGAAACCGGGUCUAAUACCGGAUAUGACUCCAUGACGCAUGUUGUGGGGUGGAAAGCCUUGUGCGGCUGAGGAUGGGCCCGCGGCCUAUCAGCUUGUUGGUGGGGUGAUGGCCUACCAAGGCGACGACGGGUAGCCGGCCUGAGAGGGCGACCGGCCACACUGGGACUGAGGCACGGCCCAGACUCCUACGGGAGGCAGCAGUGGGGAAUCUUGCGCAAUGGGCGAAAGCCUGACGCAGCGACGCCGCGUGAGGGAUGACGGCCU